rnacentral:rRNA from 1 species
UGGGGAAUUUUGCACAAUGGGGGAAACCCUGAUGCAGCGACGCCGCGUGAUUUAGAAGGCCUUCGGGCUGUAAAAAUCUUUUUUACGGGAUGAAAAUGACAGUACCGUAAGAAUAAGGUCCGGCUAAAUACGUGCCAGCAGCCGCGGUAAUACGUAUGGACCGAGCGUUGUCCGGAAUCAUUGGGCGUAAAGGGUACGUAGGCGGCCUAGUAAGUUAGAAGUGAAAUAAUAUAGCUCAACUAUAUAAAGCUUUUAAAACUGCUAGGCUUGAGAGAUGGAAGGGAAAGUGGAAUUCCUAGUGUAGCGGUGAAAUGCGCAGAUAUUAGGAAGAAUACCGGUGGCGAAGGCGACUUUCUGGUCAUCAUCUGACGCUGAGGUACGAAAGCGUGGGUAGCAAACAGG